AGCGUAUCGCCAGAGCGCUGCACCAUCGACGGCAGAUCCAUGCUGCUGCACUCUGUCUGAGCGGGUGCAAAAUGCCUUUGUGUGUGUGCGUGUGUGUGUGUGUGUGUGUGUGUGUAUGAGUGUGUAAGUGGGCUCAAGUACGCUAGUCCUAUAUUCAAAACACGCAACACUUGUCAUCAGCAGGCGCCGACAAUCAUUUACGCAGUAACACAUACACACACACACACACACACGCACACAACAAUAAACAGCUGUCUACGAGUUUGCACUGUGCUCUGCCGCCCC